rnacentral:rRNA from 1 species
CCCAGACUCCUACGGGAGGCAGCAGUGGGGAAUAUUGGGCAAUGGGCGCAAGCCUGACCCAGCAACGCCGCGUGAAGGAAGAAGGCUUUCGGGUUGUAAACUUCUUUUGUCAGGGACGAAGCAAGUGACGGUACCUGACGAAUAAGCCACGGCUAACUACGUGCCAGCAGCCGCGGUAAUACGUAGGGGGCAAGCGUUAUCCGGAUUUACUGGGUGUAAAGGGGGCGCAGACGGCAGCGCAAGCCAGGAGUGAAAGCCCGGGGCCCAACCCCGGGACUGCUCUUGGAACUGCGCGGCUGGAGUGCAGGAGGGGCAGGCGGAAUUCCUGGUGUAGCGGUGAAAUGCGUAGAUAUCAGGAGGAACACCGGCGGCGAAGGCGGCCUGCUGGACCGCGACUGACGUUGAGGCUCGAAAGCGUGGGGAGCGAACAGGAUUAGAUACCCCCGUAU